ensembl:lncRNA
UGUGCAGACUGAGGUCAGCAACAACAGCAGCUCCUCCAUCGUCUCCUGCUGUUGGACAGUCGGACAAGAUUUGCUUUUGUUGGAGAAAAUUUGGAGACUAAAAAAAGUCUGAACUGAUUCUGAGCAGUUACAACAAGUCAAAUGACUCAGUUCACCAAGAGAUUCCCUGAUAUGGACCAGAGCUGCACAAGUGUUUGUGUGUGGUUAGCUGUUUGUGUGUACUUGUGUUACUGUCAUAGUGACACGUUGUGGCUGCUCGACCUGCUUUUGGGAUCAAAAGUCAUGGCUGCACAACAAUCAGUCUUUUCAGGUAAGACAGAUGCUGUGCUCGUCCCCACGUCGGAGUUAUCCCCAAACUUUUUGUUACAUCAGUCAUGAUGAGAGAAAGCAAAACUACGGGGUAUGAGUCAUAUUUGAGGUGACAGUGAUCGAAGUAAAGACUCUUAUUCAUUUACUCGUCUGUGCCUUCCCUCUGUAACCUCUCUCCCUCUCCUGAUUGGCUCCUGACUGUCUGACACGCCCUCUUUUCACCUCCACAAGUAAGAGUUGAGCUGUCCAUGUGUGUCUGUGUUAAGUACACAACGAGCUGAGGUCAAACAACACUGGAGAAUCAUUGAUGGCUGUGUGAUGAUAACAAACCUUUGAACAGUGAUAGUAACUGAGUGUUAGCCUGCUGGCGGUUGAUAAAGUUACGCUUGUUUCAUAAGCUAACCAGCAUAUGUUAGCCUCCUAGUAUCACCAAGCUAAGACGUCAACCAGCUGAACUUUACUGAAAAAACAAGCAGCACUAGCUGGCAGCUCAUGUUCUGAAAGAUAUCAUGGUCAAAUAUGGAUCACCUUACUCUGUGGAAGGAAAUGAUUCUGCUGUGUUUGAACUUGAGUCGAUUACAUUUAGACGAUAUUCAUACACUCAGAUAUUAUAUUAAGCCCACUAAGUUGUGUUUAAUAAAUAUACCUCAAACAGGAAUUAUGAACAUUGUCUGAAUAGAAAGACCAUUUGUUAUUACUCUGUUUUAUUUAAAUAACACAUUUAAAACAGAAGCUGACC